UACAGAGACUGCAAGCGUUAUUCGGAUUCACUGGGCGUAAAGGGUGCGCAGGCGGCCGUGUGUGUUGGGCGUGAAAGCCCGGGGCUUAACCCCGGAAUUGCGCCCAAAACUACAUGGCUAGAGCAUUGGAGAGGGUAGCAGAAUUCAUGGUGUAGCAGUGAAAUGCGUAGAUAUCAUGAGGAAUACCAGAGGCGAAGGCGGCUACCUGGACAAUUGCUGACGCUCAGGCAACGAAAGCGUGGGGGAGCAAAAAGGG
rnacentral:rRNA from 1 species